UUGAUUCGAUUUGCCAACCACUCAGAAGAUCCACACGUAAAAACAAGAGUUCGGGGCCUCCGGCGGGCGCCUGGCUCCGGCAGCAUAGGCACCGGGGCGACACCGCCGAAGCAACAAUGGUAUGUUCUCAGUAGGUUUGGGAGUUGUAAACUCGGUAAUGAUCCCUCCGCUGGUUCACCAACGGAGA
rnacentral:misc_RNA from 1 species